rnacentral:rRNA from 1 species
CCUACGGGAGGCAGCAGUGGGGAAUAUUGCACAAUGGGCGAAAGCCUGAUGCAGCAACGCCGCGUGGGUGAAGGAGUGCUUCGGCAUGUAAAGCCCUAUCGGCAGGGAAGAAGCAAGACGUUACUUGACUAAGAAGCCCCGGCUAACUACGUGCCAGCAGCCGCGGUAAUACGUAGGGGGCGAGCUUUAUCCGGAUUCACGGGGGUUAAAGGGAGCGUAGACGGCCAUUCAAGCCAGGUGUGAAAGCCCGGGGCCCAACCCCGGAACUGCCGUUGAAACUGCAUGGCUGGAGUGCGGGAGGGGCAGGCGGAAUUCCUGGUGUAGCGGUGAAAUGCGUAGAUAUCAGGAGGAACACCGGCGGCGAAGGCGGCCUACUGGACCGCGACUGACGUUGAGGCUCGAAAGCGUGGGGAGCGAACAGGAUUAGAUACCCUUGUAGUC